UACGGAGGGGGCUAGCGUUAUUCGGAAUUACUGGGCGUAAAGCGUGCGUAGGCGGACCCUUAAGUCUCUUGUCUAAGCCCCCGGCUCAACCGGGGAAUGGCGCGAGAUACUGGGGGACUGGAGUGCCGGAAGGGAAAGUAGAAUUCCUGGUGUAGCGGUGAAAUGCGUAGAGAUCAGGAGGAAUACCGGUGGCGUAAGCGACUUUCUAGACGGCAACUGACGCUGAGGUACGAAAGCCAGGGGAGCAAACGGG
rnacentral:rRNA from 1 species